AGAGUACUGACUUGAGCGUCGGAGGGUCUUGUUGGAGCACCCCCAACUCUGGUUUAGACUUUCUUUGCAGGUCCCGAUGGCGGCCGUGAUCCUCUCGAAUCCAGCUUCUCCGACAUCAGUGGAAUUCUGCACCAAUAAAAUUGGCGCUAGAGGAAGGGCCUGUGUCUUCUCAGGACCCUUGUUCUUAAAGUAGCAUUCAACGAGACUAUCUCCGGUCAUCUUCUUCGACAUCUUCUUCUUCUUCUUCGACCAGAUUCCAACCUGAUGCCUCCCCCAAAGGCUUCCACCAGGC
rnacentral:lncRNA from 1 species